rnacentral:rRNA from 1 species
GACGAACGCUGGCGGCGUGCUUAACACAUGCAAGUCGAACGGUAAGGCCCUUUCGGGGGUACACGAGUGGCGAACGGGCGAGUAACACGCGAGUAACCUGCCCACAACUUUGGUAGAACUCUAUGAAACUGGCUCGAAUACUUGACAUGUGCUCCUUCUGCAUGGAGGGGGGUGGAAAGCUCCGGGGGGCGGGGGUGGACUGGCGGCCUAUUAGCUUGUUGGUGGGGUAGGGGGCUACCCAGGCGGCGGCGGGUAGCCGGCCUGGGAGGGUGACCGGCCAACUUGGGGCUUAGGUGCGGGCCAGGCUCCUACGGGGGGCCAGCGUGGGGAAUAUUGCCCCAUGGGGGCGAGCCUGGUGCAGGAACCGCGGGGGCGGGAUGACGGCCUUCGGGUUGUAAAACGGUUUCAGCAGGGACGGAGCUUUUUGUGACGGUACCUGCAGAAGAAGCACCGGCUAACUACGUG